rnacentral:misc_RNA from 1 species
GCAAGAAGCCACAAAGCUAUAUGUGAUACGUAUAACCUUAAAUUCAAAAAUAAAUGAAGGAAAAGAAGAAUCAAUAAUUCCAAAUUGAACAAAAGAAGAUCAGCAGACACCAUGAAAAAGUGCAUACAAAUUGAAAAUAUUGAACCAUAAAAUGUGGUAAGCCCUAUAUCUCAAGUUUAAGAUAUCUACCAAGCAAAAUCUGUUGCAAAGGCAAACUAUGCAUAAUGGGACAAGAAGAAAAAUAAAGCAAAAGCACAUAUGCAAUAGAGAUAUCUUUUUUCUCACAG